rnacentral:rRNA from 1 species
AUUGAACGCUGGCGGCAUGCCUUACACAUGCAAGUCGAACGGUAACGCGGGGCAAUCCUGGUGGCGAGUGGCGAACGGGUGAGUAAUAUAUCGGAACAUGCCCAGUCGUGGGGGAUAACGCAGCGAAAGCUGUGCUAAUACCGCAUACGAUCUACGGAUGAAAGCGGGGGAUCGCAAGACCUCGCGCGAUUGGAGCGGCAGAUAUCAGAUUAGCUAGUUGGUGGGGUAAAGGCCCACCAAGGCGACGAUCCGUAGCUGGUCUGAGAGGACGACCAGCCACACUGGAACUGAGACACGGUCCAGACUCCUACGGGAGGCAGCAGUGGGGAAUUUUGGACAAUGGGCGCAAGCCUGAUCCAGCAAUGCCGCGUGCAGGAUGAAGGCCUUCGGGUUGUUAACUGCUUCUGUACGGAACGAAACGGCCCUUUCUAAUACAGGGGGCCAAUGACGGUACCGUAAGAAUAAGCACCGGCUAACUACGUGCCAGCAGCCGCAGUAA